rnacentral:rRNA from 1 species
CCGGAACACAAGUAGUUUUGUUCUUCAUAAUUCAAAGCAAUUUGGCGGUUAAUUAAAUUUUUCAGAGGAACCUGUAUAUUAAUUGAUAUACCACGAUAAUUUCAACCUUUCUUUUAUUUAUAUAUCUCUAUAAUUUGGAAUGUUUCUUAAAGAAUAAUUUUCUUUUUGAUUAAUCAUUUAUGUUAGGUCAAGGUGUAGUUUUAGGAAGAAAAAGUUUAUAUGGGUUAUUUUAAUUUUAGAUUGUUAAUUUAAAUUAUUAUAUUGUUUUAAUUGUUAUUAAGGAUUUGAUAGUAAUUUAAAUUAAUUUAUUUGAGUGAAUUAA